AUGUCAUCCUUGGCCUUUUGGCUAAGAUCAAGUGUAGUAUCUGUUCUUAUCAGUUUGUGUGCCAGGGGUGCUCAUUAUUCUUAGGAUGUCAUUGCUUUGCCCUUU
rnacentral:snRNA from 1 species